GUACACUCCUACGGGAGGCAGCAGUGGGGAAUUUUGGACAAUGGGCGAAAGCCUGAUCCAGCAAUGCCGCGUGAGUGAAGAAGGCCUUCGGGUUGUAAAGCUCUUUUGUCAGGGAAGAAACGGUGACAGCUAAUAUCUUUUGCUAAUGACGGUACCUGAAGAAUAAGCACCGGCUAACUACGUGCCAGCAGCCGCGGUAAUACGUAGGGUGCAAGCGUUAAUCGGAAUUACUGGGCGUAAAGCGUGCGCAGGCGGUUUUGUAAGUCUGAUGUGAAAUCCCCGGGCUCAACCUGGGAAUUGCAUUGGAGACUGCAAGGCUAGAAUCUGGCAGAGGGGGGUAGAAUUCCACGUGUAGCAGUGAAAUGCGUAGAUAUGUGGAGGAACACCGAUGGCGAAGGCAGCCCCCUGGGUCAAGAUUGACGCUCAUGCACGAAAGCGUGGGGAGCAAACAAGAUUAGAUACCCCAGUAGUCC
rnacentral:rRNA from 1 species